GCGCCCGUAGCUCAGCUGGAUAGAGCGAUAGAUUCCGGUUCUAUAGGUCGGGGGUUCAAGUCCUCUCGGGCGCA
rnacentral:tRNA from 7 species